CAAGAUGGAGAGGUAUAAAUGGAAGGAGUAAAGUACUCCUUUAGCAGUUUGGGUUGUUCUUCAGCCAUCUCGACAGGUGGUGUAGAUCCUAUGAUUCUAUAGGUGCGGAUUUCGGCUCGAAGGGCCCUAAUAGAACGCUCUAUUUCAGGAGAUCUGGAACGACACCCUAGCAUACACUAAAGCUUGUUGGAUCAGUCAAGUACAGUCAAUCAUGCAUUAAAGGAAAAGCAUAUCAAAUCCUUGUGUUUAUCCUAAAAUCAUUAGACAGCUUCUAACUGGUUUGAAGAGGGCACCUAGGCCUCCAAUCCGGUCUAAUGAACUGAGUUGACCUGGUAAGCUCCCAGGUAAGUGGGGGGGUCACGAUGCGUUGCAAAGGUCCCACUUAAAAACCACUUGCCUCGAACAGAUGAACUGUCUUCCUUGGGACAAAGCUUGCCUAGACAUCAACUGAGCCACAGAGUGAAAUUGGUACAACUUUCGGUGAUCUUCAUCCUAUUGUGCUCAAAUAUCCCUAGGGGCCAACGUCUAAUUGAUUUUAAUUAAAAUGAUAGCUAUGUGAAAAUUGAU
rnacentral:lncRNA from 1 species